ensembl:lincRNA 4933402J10Rik RIKEN cDNA 4933402J10 gene
GUAGUGGUGGGUGCUACUUGUCAGCCACACCAAAUUGGAUGGUGGUGUCCUACACUAAUCAUGGGGGGCAAUUUGCAGAAGACAGGUAACUGGAGCAGAUCCCUGGAAGAGUUAAACCCGAAGGAAGAAGCCUGCAUACCAGAGAAUGCCAACAAUCAACUGCCAGCCGAAACAUCUGAACAGCCAGGCCCAGAUGCCAACAGACAAAGAGAAAUGGAGUGCUCCAGUCACCUAACAGUCAGGAAGAAUAACAAAGACAAACUAGUGAAAGAUGAUAAAACACUUAGGAAGAAACCAGGAAGAAACACCUUUCAGUUGCCACCCGCCUGCCCAAGAAACUAUAAGAGAACAGUAAGACCAACAAUAUUUUUAUGUUCUCACAAGACAAAUAAUGCAAAGAAUAAAACCCACCAUAGCCAAAACAAAAAACGUUGGGAUAUGAAACCAUUCCAAGUGACCUCCUGUGGAUCGAGAAAGUGUGAAGCCUGGGUUAGAAACUUAGAACAAGCUACAGCAGUUUUAGAAUUAAAUGUGGAGAAAAGAAAAGACAUUUGAGAUCACAUCUAGAGCCAACAAGUUGUGUGCCAGUUGGCAGUUGAAAUAAAACAUUCAAGAUGUGGGAAAAAAUAAAUUAUAGUGGUAUAGAAAAGUAGAACUAAUAGGUUCUCCUCUAGGAUUCAUAACCUUACCUGCUAUUGCCCUUGUCUUCCCCCAAGAACUUGAAGAGGAGACUUCCAAUCCACCAAUAAUCAUACUGAAAUAAUCAUUAUGCUGCCCCUGGUGUAUCUGUGGUUUUACUGUAACACAGCAAUCAUCAUUGCAGUUCAAGGUACAUUGUUUGGCAGAGGCAUUUAUACCUUCAAGAAGAACUCUUCAUUCUCCUCUUUAAAGUCUGAUGAAAGCUUGUUCUGGAAAACCUUCAAAAUCAGGAAAUAAAGCUUCAUAUGCUAUCC